CUUAAUUAACUUGAAUUCUGAGAUCCCGCAGCUCUCAGUUGAUGAACAUUACCAGUUGGAUUUAAUUUAACAACGAUCGACCUUACAUAUCAUAUAUUAAUAGCCCUAUAUAUUGCAGGAAAUCGGGAAAAAAAGAAAAGAAGAAGUUACAAUCUAGGAAAUUAUCAUUACAUGAAACAAGAUGGAGACUAAUUAAUUAAUAUGCGCAUGGUGAUUAACACGUACUAAUUUCACAGCUUGUAAAUCUUGGAAAUCGCUUGCAAAACAUCGACCUGGAACUUCAAAUGCAUUAUGUAAUCCGCCGUGUGCCGAAACAGCGUCUCCGCCUCCAGCCCUCUCCCUCCCGGAAUCAGCAUUUGCAGCUUCCUCACCUUCACUCUCACCGUCGUCGUCGUCCUCCUCCCUCCACCGCCAACACGACGUCGUCUUCCCCCCACCGCACUCCUCCUCCUCGACCUCAUGAUCUUCGAACACCCGAACGAACUCAUUCUCAGAAUCCAACACCUGCUCUAUAUUUAUUACUGCACAAGUCAAAGAACAAUGAAGACGAAGAAGAAGAAGGAAGCUAGUGUGUGGAAGAGUGAACGAUGAGGAGGAAGAGAAGGAGGAGGAGGGGGUAUAAAAGAAGGGAAGCUAAGCUAAGGUGAAGCUAGAGGUAGGCAAGUAUUAUAUAUAUAUAGCACCCUACAAUGCUAGGGCGACGGGGGCCAUGUGAGCCGAGCCAUUGCCUCUCCAAAUCAACAUCUCCUACUCCUCCGAUGGAGUCCUCCAAUAAUUCUAGCUCCCAUAAUAAGGCCACAAAGCACACCAUUGAAUUUGCCUCACGAGCACAGUUUCGUUGUCGUUUUGCAAUAUGGGGCACGGCUGCGGGUUCCCACCCCCCACUCCCAUUUGCUUAGACUUGCCAAGACCCACCCACGUGUCUGACAGCUCGAUCUCUCUAAACCCUAGUCUUCUUCUCGCACGGUCUCAUCUACGCAAGCCAUUAUCACCUGCUUCCUUCUCGUUCUAGUUCUAGUUCUAGUUCUGUCUCUGCUUCGCUAUUGCUUCUAUUUAGUUACCAUGUCCCCGUCGGUCCCUUAUUCCCAAAUCCCGGCAGUGUACUUCCCGAUACUUGUCCGAUCUCAUUCUCUACGUUAGCUACAAACUUAUCACGAUCGAAUAUAUCACUUUGUCUCCAACUUACCAAUCGCGUAUAGGGAUGUGCAAGACAAUGUGCGUGCUUAAAUGAGUAUCGAGUUUGAUGAUGUGAUUAGUGGAUCGGACGUGUCAUUCUAGAUACCGAAAUUUGAGCUCACAUACUUUCUUAUACGGUAAUUGUUUUAGUGAACAUUUUAAAUGUAAGGUAUUAAAUGGCUGAGGCAGUUGCCACGAGCACUACAUCUUGUGUAU
rnacentral:lncRNA from 1 species